ACGGCCGCGGGAUUCUCCACCGUGCAAAGGUAGCAUAAUCACUUGUCUCCUAAAUAGAGACUAGUAUGAAUGGCCAAAUGAAGAUUUACCUGUCUCUUGAAGCCCAUCUAUGAAACUGAUCUUUCAGUACAAAAGCUGAAAUUUAAACACAAGACGAAAAGACCCUGUGGAACUUAAAGCCACAACCAACAAAAUGGACCUAUUGCUUUUAGUUGGGGCAACUUUGGAAAAAAACAAAACUUCCAAUUAACUAUCUAGGCAGACAUGCCAAUAUAUAAUAAACUAGAUCCAGUACUACUGAUUAAAGAAAAAAGCUACCCCAGGGAUAACAGCGCCAUCCCCUCUUAGAGCCCCCAUCGACGAGCGGGGUUUACGACCU
rnacentral:rRNA from 1 species